rnacentral:misc_RNA from 1 species
GCUUACCCCUUCGAACGGAAUUUGUUGGUUUCGGUGUCCCGAUCUGCCUUGUGCCCCUCGGGGUGCGGGGUGGACGUGAGGCGGUCUCCGUGAUCCCGYSGUGCCUAGYGAAUUUUCGUGCGGUUGUCGUGGCUCACGGGGCCUUUGAYCGUUCUCUCGGACGUGGAAUGUCGUGUGUGGGCGCAGGGCCACGGCCUCGUUGCGUCCAACCUGAACAUUUGUUUAACGAUGCGAACGACCGUCGCGCCCGUCUUGACCGCCCGGGGGGUCCCCCGGGGGYGUCUCAUGCGGGCGUAGGCGUUGCGAAGGAAUGCUACCUGGUUGAUCCUGCCAGU